UGUUGAAAUCCAUUUCUAUUGUUAAAAGCUGGUGUAGUUGACAAAAUAAUCAAACAAUUACAUGUGGCAUAUACCUUAUACUAAUGUACAUGGAUCAAUUUUUAAUAGUAGCAUUGGAUAGAAUUUUUAACA
rfam:Gossypium arboreum cultivar AKA8401 contig_47990_1, whole genome shotgun sequence.